rnacentral:rRNA from 1 species
CCUACGGGAGGCAGCAGUAGGGAAUCUUGCACAAUGGGCGGAAGCCUGAUGCAGCGACGCCGCGUGAGGGAUGAAGGCCUUCGGGUUGUAAACCUCUUUCAGCCUUGACGAAGCGCCCUUUUGUGGGUGUGACGGUAGGGGCAGAAGAAGCGCCGGCCAACUACGUGCCAGCAGCCGCGGUAAU